rnacentral:lncRNA from 1 species
UUUGCUUAUGAUAUUGUGCAAGAGUGAUAAAGGAAGUUGCAAACCUUGUGACCGCCGGUCGAUGCAAAUUCCUUUGAUUGGUGAAUCUCCUCAUCAUGUUCACAACGGCGACAUGGUUAUAUAUAUAACCAUUCAUGAAGAUCGCCUUCUUGAGGGCAUUCUUGAUCUUUGGAAGCUUUCCAAUAUCCUCCAACAUCAAGUCCACACAAUGUGCGGCACAUGGAGUCCAAUAAAGAUGUGGUCUUUUGGCCAUAAGCAAUUUCCCUA